rnacentral:rRNA from 1 species
UACACAUGCAGUCGAGCGGGGAGAUGUAGCUUGCUACAUUUCCUAGCGGCGGACGGGUGAGUAAUGCUUAGGAAUCUGCCUAUUAGUGGGGGACAACAUUCCGAAAGGAAUGCUAAUACCGCAUACGCCCUACGGGGGAAAGCAGGGGAUCUUCGGACCUUGCGCUAAUAGAUGAGCCUAAGUCAGAUUAGCUAGUUGGUGGGGUAAAGGCCUACCAAGGCGACGAUCUGUAGCGGGUCUGAGAGGAUGAUCCGCCACACUGGGACUGAGACACGGCCCAGACUCCUACGGGAGGCAGCAGUGGGGAAUAUUGGACAAUGGGCGAAAGCCUGAUCCAGCCAUGCCGCGUGUGUGAAGAAGGCCUUUUGGUUGUAAAGCACUUUAAGCGAGGAGGAGGCUACUUGGAUUAAUACUCUAGGAUAGUGGACGUUACUCGCAGAAUAAGCACCGGCUAACUCUGUGCCAGCAGCCGCGGUAAUACAGAGGGUGCGAGCGUUAAUCGGAUUUACUGGGCGUAAAGCGUGCGUAGGCGGCUUUUUAAGUCGGAUGUGAAAUC